CCCUUAGAUGUUCUGGGCCGCACGCGUGCUACACUGAGUGGAUCAGCGGGUCAGGUUGCGCGAAAGUGUUUCCUAAUCUUGAAAUCCGCUCGUGAUGGGGAUUGACGGUUGCAAUUUUCCGUCAUGAACGAGGAAUACCUUGUAAGCGCGGGUCAUCAUCCCGCGCUGAAUACGUCCCUGCCCUUUGUACACACCGCCCGUCGCUCCUACCGAUUGAGUGGUCCAGUGAGGCUUUGGGAUCUGAGCAAAAAGAGCGUUUCGCUCGUUUGGCUCGGAAAACUCAGUCGAACCUUAUCAUUUAGAGGAAGGGGAAGUCGUAACA
rnacentral:rRNA from 1 species